GGCGAUGUAGCUCAGUCGGUUAGAGCAUGCGGCUCAUAUCCGCAGUGUCCGGGGUUCAAGUCCCUGCAUCGCCA
rnacentral:tRNA from 1 species